AUUGAACGCUGGCGGCAUGCCUUACACAUGCAAGUCGAACGGCAGCACGGGAGCAAUCCUGGUGGCGAGUGGCGAACGGGUGAGUAAAGUAUCGGAACGUGCCCAGUCGUGGGGGAUAACGUAGCGAAAGUUACGCUAAUACCGCAUACGAUCUAUGGAUGAAAGCGGGGGAUCGCAAGACCUCGCGCGAUUGGAGCGGCCGAUAUCAGAUUAGGUAGUUGGUGGGGGAAAGGCUCACCAAGCCGACGAUCUGUACCUGGUCUGAGAGGACGACCAGCCACACUGGGAAUGAGACACGGCCCAGACUCCUACGGGAGGCAGCAGUGGGGAAUUUUGGACAAUGGGCGAAAGCCUGAUCCAGCCAUGCCGCGUGCAGGAUGAAGGCCUUCGGGUUGUAAACUGCUUUUGUACGGAACGAAAAGGUUUGGGCUAAUAAGCUGAGCUCAUGACGGUACCGUAAGAAUAAGCACCGGCUAACUACGUGCCAGCCGCCGCCGUAA
rnacentral:rRNA from 1 species